UAGCAGCAAACAAAUGAGCUCAAGUGUGUCUCUUCUCUACAGGUGACACUGUCCAAGCUUCUGUGUGACAACUGUGACUAUGUGGAAAGUGAACAGUGGUCUGUCUUUGACCUUCCAGACCCCUUCCUGAACCCCCGAGUGUCAUGUCGCGACCUCCCCGGGGUGAACCUUGAGCUGUGGAAAGAGCGUGUGUCAUGUGGCGUAGGCAAGACUAACAUCGACAUAAGUGGAGCAGAACGCAUCUCUCCUUGUGUUAUGUGCACCUGUACCAAGGAAGGGCCUGUCUGCCAGAGCCUCAAGAUAGACAACUGCUUCCACCUGGCCCAGUCCUACAGUCCUGAGUCUAUUCUGAAUGACCACGUGUGCAAGGUGCAGUGUGCAUUUGCCUUCCGUGCCUUCCCACAAGUGGCCACUCAGGACUCCAACCAGCUCGGAUUUGCCAACAGUUAAAGAGCUGACGUCACAAGAAAUGGUUAGAGAAUAUUUUGCAAUGUCCCUAUCUUGUGAAGUAUGUUAGGGGUGGGGAUGCUCUCUCUCUCUCUCUCCUCUCUCUCUCUCUCUCUCUCUCUCUCUCUCUCUCUCUCUCUCUCUCUCUCUCUCUCUGUCUGUCUGUCUGUGUAAGAGGCAAGUUUUGUUUUUGUUCAGCAGAUAUAUGGUAUAUUAUGACAGUAAAUUUGGGGUUGAGUGGUUGUAUUUAGCAAUGUCUCUCUGGAGUAAUGCUGUAAAUUUUUGUGUUUGUUUCUCCCUUGUAUGUAUGUAUGUAUGUUCCUCCUGCUCCUCCUCCUUGGGUUUGUGGAAGACUAUAACAUCUUACAGAAAAAAAAAAAAAAAGAAAAUUAAGUUGUUUUCAUAAUGCUGCUACUGCUGUUUGUAUGUAUGUAUGUAUCUAUGCAUCUGUGUAUAUGUGUGUGUGUGUGUGUGUGUGUGUGUGUGUGUGUGUGUG